UCCGGCCAAAUUUAAGCACCGAGUCCGGCUUUUGUGUUUUUGGACCUGGCAACCCUAUGCGGGCUGCGUUUACUUUGAUCUAACCGCAAAACGCAUCCAGUGUGACGAAUCCUUUAUCCAGGCGAUCUGGGUAUAAAUGUGGCCUAACUUUGAGUCUUCUUUAUCAUUACAACUCUCAAGCCACGACCAUGAAGACUAUUGUCAGCAUCGUUUUGUUCAUUGCCUGUGCUGUUUUGGCGUUCGCCUCUGCGCUGCCCGGCGUACCAAAGGAAAAAUUAUACUUCACAGCACAAGAGCUGGCAGGAUGAAUCAAGUACAUUGCAUCUGAACAUUAAUUAUACAUCUUCACUAAACAUGUUUUAAUAAUAUACAGUUUCUUUUAAAAA